rnacentral:lncRNA from 1 species
CUUCCUCCACUUUUGAAGUCUCCUCGUUUUCUUAGCUCUGAAGCUGUUCUUCUCUCUCCUGCCUCUGCUUAGCCUCACAGUGGAUUCGUGGAAUUCCUUCCAUACUCAAAUAUUUACAGAACUUAAGAAAAUAUCUUUAGCACUAGCAUGGGCUCGAUCAAUUUUGUCAUUAUCUUUUGUCAAUUCUUCAAUGUCCUUGCUUGGCAAGUUGCACUACUUCCAUCAUUUGCUCCUCAAAUUAUGUUCUUGAUCAUAAUAAAAGGUUUUCACCGUUUUUGUUUUUCACUCUUUUGUUCUUAAAUUUUGCAGGCCAUCAAUUCCUCUGAUGUUUCCCCUGUAAGUACACCACUGGAAUUCUACAUUUGAUGGGUUUGUAAGAUGGUUGCUAUUCAUUUUGACUGUUGGAAUUGAAAUAUGUUUAAACAGGUAUGCUUCGAUUCGAGCAAUAAAAUGUGAUCAAGAAUCAGUCUAUCAGCAAUGCCUCAAAUAUUGGGUAUUGUUUUCCAUGGCCACAAUCUUUGAAUGCGCACUUUCAAAGCUUCUUGUAUGGUAAAAUUCCUUUUUACACUAUUUUUUUUUUUUUAAAUUUGG